AACCAUAACAUAACAACAUUGUUCGACCAAUUCAUAUUUUUAGGUAUGUCCCAUAGCUUUCUCAAAGAAUGAUCAUGGUUGGUUGUCAAUUAGUGCUCAGUGUUGAAUAACAAUGAUACAACUAACCAACAAAAACGGACUUGCUACUUAAAUUGGUUCAUGGUUAAAAGAACAGAGCCCUUAGUUCUCAAAUAUAAAUAUGGACAUCAACACACAGGUCAUGAGCCAAUCCAAAGCAUGGCUUGUAGAAUUAAUCAAUAAAAUGGAAUAUCUGUAUAUACAAAGGCCGCCUAGUGGAAAUCUAAAAGGUUAUUAACAGUCUAACCAUCAGAGGGGCCUAAAGAGGGGGGUUCGAACUAAGUUAAUGAAAAAGGGGCUAAGAAGGAAAGCCGAAAGAAAGUACUCCCUCCGUAAACUAAUAUAAGAGCGUUUAGAAUACUACUUUAGUAUUCUAAACGCUCUUAUAUUAGUUUACGGAGGGAGUACAACAAAAGAGAGCCCGAACAGUGACAUCUGUUCUUCGGAACAAACAGUUUCACCCUGUUCUUAGGAGCUCGAACUUGACAUAUAACAAGUGAAUUACAUAGCCACACGAGACUUUAUUUAUGCAUUUUUAUGGCAUAAACAAAUCUUCAUAGACCCAAUAUCUGAAUCAUGCAACAUUUCAAUAUAGCUUAAUUUUCCUGAAUAACUAUUUUCAAUAGAAUUAGUUAUGACAUGCAUACUUAGUUACUACACCCUUCUUAUUCUUCAUUGUAGAUUCUCAGGAAGCCCAC
rnacentral:lncRNA from 1 species